CAGAACGUAGCUAAGACAGAAAAGCAUCUCCAUUACACCGAGAAGUCCCCUGUGCAAAUCAGGUCGUACUGA
rnacentral:tRNA from 1 species